UACAUAAUGGUGUAAUGUGAUGCACUUAAAGUUUUGAUCUUUAAAGUUUUGGUUUGAUUCCAUUUUAUGUAA
rnacentral:tRNA from 1 species